GAUCCUGACUCAGAUUGAACGCUGGCGGCAGGCUUAACACAUGCAAGUCGAACGGUAACAGGGAUUAGCUUGCUAAUUUGCUGACGAGUGGCGGACGGGUGAGUAAUGCUUGGGAAUCUGGCUUAUGGAGGGGGAUAACUACGGGAAACUGUAGCUAAUACCGCGUAAUAUCGGAAGAUUAAAGGGUGGGACUUUCGGGCCACCUGCCAUAAGAUGAGCCCAAGUGGGAUUAGGUAGUUGGUUAGGUAAAGGCUGACCAAG
rnacentral:rRNA from 1 species